UUCACCAUAAAAAUUAAGUUUUUUUCUUCUCCUUUCUCUUCUUUUCUUACUUCUCCAUUCUCCUACCCCUUUAUUUACCCAACCCACAACUUUCAACCUCAUUUUUCAUCCCAACGAAACUCUAGAAGAGAGAAAGGAAGAAACAAGAAAGGAAAGAAAGAAAGGAAAAAGGAAGAAAAAAGCUUAGAGGAGGCUCGACCUUAGAGGAGAAAAGAGAAAACCGAGAGGUUUUUCUCCUUACCCACACACCAUCAUUGAGGUUGAAAAGAUUUUGGUGGUUUGCCUUGUGGAUUUCAAGCAAGGAUCAAUAAAGAUCCUAGGAACUCGAGGCAUACAUGUGGAAGAAUCUUGGAAUGUAUGGUGAUUUUGUGCUAGAUUAAGUGGGUGUUUUCAGGAUCGAAGGUAAUUGGAUCCUAGGUCGAGGUGCUCCCUCUUAUUCAUCUUUCAAUAGGUUCACUAUGACUCUCAAUGAUAACACCCACUCCAAAGUCACUCCGCUGGUUGUCAAGGGUCUGUUGUAUGUUUAUAAGUGAUGGCUCAAUGUAAAUUGUGAGAUUUGUUAUGAACUUUGUAUGUACUUGGUUUUCAUGAUUUAAAUUUUGAAGAGGUGGUUAUUAGAAAUUACGAGUUUUAGAUCCUAAAGAAAACAAAGUGAUAGAUGGACUACUAACGGGUUUACAUAGAAAGGCUUGCUUGGGCUUGGUGGGCUAUAUGCCUAUUAGGCUCAUGCACUAGUCAUGGCCCAGGGUUUUGGGCUAUGUCAAAAACCCUGUAAAGAUCGACUAGUGGAUAGUGAGGAUCAAUCCUAGCUUUAUAAAAGUCAUAGGUCUAAUUGUUAAUUCACUAGGCAGUUGAUCCUAGCUUUUUGUACUCCUGUCCAUUAUUUCAUCACUCAUUCCCACGGUCACAUUUCAUAAUUCUUAA